ensembl:lncRNA
CAAUUGUAAACUUGAGGAUUAAAGAGUUUCCUUUUUAUUCACACCAGCUUUUCUUCCUUUCAAAGACGAAGAGUUAUAGGACAGUAGCAGCUGCAAGAGAAAGAUUCUUACUUUUUUAGUGACAGUAAUAGACCUCUUGCUGAAUUUGGAGAUUAUGAAGUGGAGCUGUACAUGCUUUCAUUAGCGAAGCUCGGCUACGUGAGGAGAAAGCCAACUACUGUUUUGUUAGGCGGCUCAGACGUCUGGAGGCUUUCGUACAAGACUGGGAACUCAGCGCAUGGGGAAUGAAUGAAGUUCACAAAAGAAGAGGUCCCCACAGCUGGAGCUGCUUGAGGCACCCUGGCUCACUCCAGCAUGCUCUCCUUCAAAUGCUAAGGAAAAAAAAAACCUACACCUUCCCCAAGGAAUUCGCAGUAAGACCAAACACUUGUAAAAAUAUAUUUUGUCAGUAGAAAAGCUUACCUCUGCACAAAGCAUCUUGUUGACUAGCAUUUGUCUUGUGUGUAUUAGUAAACCCGAGUUGCCAUUGACUGCACGUAACUCAGGGGAGCAGGGAACCCAAGGAUCACUCUCUCUUCACAAAGGGACAUGGCUAAAACAGAAUUAUUUUCCUGUUAUGUUAACAACAGGUUAAAAGAAGCAUGUGGAGGGGAUCUGAUGGGUUUUAGUUUUUCACUGGAAGGAGAGAGAGGGUUCAGGUUUUUCUUAUGUCCUUUCCAUUUUUCCCAGGACCUUCCCUGAAGUUUGAAAUGGCUCUCAUUUGCUGUGGCAGUGAGAAGAAGAAGGGGAAGCAAACAGCUGUCUACGAGAGGCAGGUCAGGGGCCUCUAAUCUUCCAUUUUAUACAUACAAGAUUAAAGAUCUGCUUUGAGUUUUGAUUAAGAAUGCAAAGUUAAAAGAUUAAAUACCAGCAAGCCAAAUUAAAGAGGUUUAAGUCAAUCUCGGAACUCAUCAAAGUACCAAAUUUUUAAGCUGUCAUUACAACACAGGAUUAGUGCAAAGCUUCCCUGAACCCUGAUUUGAUGUCCUUCAGUCAACAAUGUUAUUCUCCCCUCAUUUUGUGCUCUUGGCAUAAAACCAGCUAUUGUCUUGUAUUUAAGCUCAUCUCACCUAUGUCCUUCUUUGUCUUUUUUCUGCUUUUUUUUUUUUCCCUGCCCGUGGCCCUGUUAAUCAAGGAACCUGUUUUUUUGUGUGACCUACAGCUUAGCAAUAUACUGUUCUGUAUUAUGCGUUGUCACGAAAUGCGUUAACGCUUAGUAAAUUCGCCUGUUUCAGAAAAAAAAUGCCUUAGUCACCAUGAUUAUUAUAAACUAUUUCUGUGAAUCCCAAGCAGUAAAUAGUUCCUGCAGCCUGCAUGCAUUUCAGCAGAUUGAUUCCAAAAGUUAAAGAAGAGAAAAAAUGUAUUGCAUUCCUAG